CAUUCUUAAACAAUUGAGGGAAUUGACAAUAAAGUUUUGGCCAAUCUGACCUACUCUACCUGAAAGAAAGAGGAAAUAGCUAUACUGCCUUGGAUUAACACAACGUUGUCUUGAAGCAUUUUACCAAUGGUGAUAUCUACUUCACGAAAGACAGCAUGCAAGAUCUAGACAGUGAUUAAGGCAUAUUUCUUUGAUAAAACUACAUCCACCGCAUUCUUUCUCAAGUCGAAAAUUUGGAACAUAAAGG
rnacentral:lncRNA from 1 species